CCCUGUCGUUAGUUGCCAGCAUGUAAAGAUGGGGACUCUAACGAGACUGCCGGUGCAAACCGCGAGGAAGGUGGGGAUGACGUCAAAUCAUCACGGCCCUUACGUCCUGGGCCACACACGUGCUACAAUGGCCGGUACAGAGAGCAGCCACGUCGCAAGGCGGAGCGAAUCUAUAAAACCGGUCACAGUUCGGAUCUGGAGUCUGCAACUCGACUCCGUGAAGCUGGAAUCUGCUAGUAAUCGGAUAUCAGCCAUGAUCCGGUGAAUACGUUCCCGGGCCUUGUACACACCGCCCGU
rnacentral:rRNA from 1 species